AUGACGAGAUCGGUCAUUAUUUCCAGACACGAGAUCGGUCAUUAUUUCCAAACACAAAAGGGCCUAAGACAAGGGGAUCCGAUGUCCCCUAUUUUGUUCAACAUUGUAGUUGAUAUGUUGGCAAUUUUGAUAGGAAGGGCUAAGGAGGCUGGUCAAGUGGGGGGCCUUGUACCUCAUCUCGUUGAUGGAGGGGUGUCCAUCCUCCAGUACGCUGAUGAUACAAUCAUCUUUAUGGAGCACGACUUGACAAAAGCGAGAAAUAUGAAGCUGGUGUUAUGCUUAUUUGAACAAUUAAUCGGGUUAAAGAUUAACUUUCACAAAAGCGAAUUGUUCUGCUUUGGUAGAGCCAAUGAUGAACAAGAGGCCUACAAGCAAUUGUUUGGGUGUGAUUUGGGGGCUCUGCCUUUCACAUACUUAGGAAUACCAAUCCACCAUCGUAAGCUGACAAACAGAGAAUGGAAGUGCAUCGAGGACCGAUUUGAAAAGAAACUGAGUUGCUGGAAGGGCAAGCUCAUGUCAUACGGAGGUCGCUUAAUUCUGAUAAAUUCGGUUCUCACGAGUAUGCCUAUGUUUCUUUUGUCUUUCUUCGAAGUCCCAGUUGGUGUUAAGAAAAGACUGGACUUUUAUCGAUCCCGAUUCUUUUGGCAGAGUGAUGAGCUAAAAAGAAAAUACCGUUUAGCCAAAUGGGAUAUCAUCUGUAGAAAGACCAAGGGGGUCUUGAGAUUGAGAAUCUUGAAAUCAAGAACAAAUGUCUUCUCAGCAAGUGGUUGUGGAAGUUAUCUAGCGGAACUGACGCCACUUGGGUACAAAUCCUUCAUAGUAAGUAUCUUCAAACCAAAACUUUGUCUCAGGUCACAGUAA
rnacentral:rRNA from 1 species